GAUCGCAAGCUUCGAUCAAUAAUACUACUAGAUUCGCGAUUAGCGCUUCAAAAACGGCCCGAAAAAUAAGACCACAAAUAAAUUUGUGGUCUUAUUUCAAAUUAGUAUGGUCCAAUCAUAGCCAACACUAAGACGUCAAAACGCUGCAAUGCGCGUUCAAAAACUGAGUAAAAAACCACCGUAACACCAAGGUUUUGGAAGGAAUAUCUUUUUUUGAUUUCCUAGUAGCCCCUUGUCGCUGUGCACAAUGGAUAUAUAUUGUCGUGAAAGAAAGAGGAGAAGAAAUAUAGAACUCUUAUAAAAAUUCUAGAAUUGUUCAAUGGUGGUGGCAAAUCAAUGCAAAAAAGUAUUAAAAAAACUUUAUAUGUAUGUGUAAAUAUUUUAAGCGUAUAUGCUGAAAAGGAUUUGUUUUCUGGGGGAAACGAACACAGCCAUAAAAUAAGCCUAAAUUAAACUGAUUAUAGAAAAAUUCAUUGAUAUAAGAUUACAUUAUAUUUGUAAAAAAGAAACCGCUCAUAUAAAAAUGACUUCUAAAAGACAGCUUUAUAACAAACUGAAUCUGUUUAAAGAUAAUUAAACCUACAUUAUUGUUUUAA